GUCGGGUGCAGUGGCGCGCGCCUGUAAUCCAAGCUGCUGGGAGACUGAGGCUGGCGGAUCGCUUGAGUUCAGGGGUUCUGGGCUGCAGUGGACUAUGUUGAUCAGGUGUCCACACUAAGUUCGGUAUCGAUAUGGUGAUCCUGGGGGAGCUCGGGACCACCAGGUCGUCUAAGGAGGGGUGAACCGGCCCAGGUCGGAGACGGAGCAGGUCAAAGCCCCCGUGUCGAUCAGUAGUGGGAUCGCGCCUGUGAAUAGACACUGCAGUGCAGCCUGAGUGAUACAGCGAGACCCAGACUUUU
rnacentral:SRP_RNA from 1 species